GCCUGGGUGGCUCAGUCAGUUGGGCAUCCGACUUCAGCUCAGGUCACGAUCUCAUGGUUUGUGGGUUCAAACCCCGCAUCAGGCU
rnacentral:tRNA from 1 species